rnacentral:pre_miRNA from 1 species
AUAGUACUUCCUCCGUUCAGAAUUACUUGUCGCAGAAAUGGAUGUAUCUAGAUGUAUUUUAGUUUUAGAUACAUUCAUUUUUGCGACAAGUAAUUCCGAACGGAGGGAGUAGUAG